ACAAGUGGCGGCGUGCUAUACAUGCAAGUCGAGCGGACAGAUGGGAGCUUGCUCCCUGAUGUUAGCGGCGGACGGGUGAGUAACACGUGGGUAACCUGCCUGUAAGACUGGGAUAACUCCGGGAAACCGGGGCUAAUACCGGAUGGUUGUUUGAACCGCAUGGUUCAGACAUAAAAGGUGGCUUCGGCUACCACUUACAGAUGGACCCGCGGCGCAUUAGCUAGUUGGUGAGGUAACGGCUCACCAAGGCGACGAUGCGUAGCCGACCUGAGAGGGUGAUCGGCCACACUGGAACUGAGACACGGCCCAGACUCCUACGGGAGGCAGCAGUAGGGAAUCUUCCGCAAUGGACGAAAGUCUGACGGAGCAACGCCGCGUGAGUGAUGAAGGUUUUCGGAUCGUAAAGCUCUGUUGUUAGGGAAGAACAAGUGCCGUUCAAAUAGGGCGGCACCUUGACGGUACCUAACCAGAAAGCCACGGCUAACUACGUGCCAGCAGCCGCGGUAAUACGUAGGUGGCAAGCGUUGUCCGGAAUUAUUGGGCGUAAAGGGCUCGCAGGCGGUUUCUUAAGUCUGAUGUGAAAGCCCCCGGCUCAACCGGGGAGGGUCAUUGGAAACUGGGGAACUUGAGUGCAGAAGAGGAGAGUGGAAUUCCACGUGUAGCGGUGAAAUGCGUAGAGAUGUGGAGGAACACCAGUGGCGAAGGCGACUCUCUGGUCUGUAACUGACGCUGAGGAGCGAAAGCGUGGGGAGCGAACAGGAUUAGAUACCCUGGUAGUCCACGCCGUAAACGAUGAGUGCUAAGUGUUAGGGGGUUUCCGCCCCUUAGUGCUGCAGCUAACGCAUUAAGCACUCCGCCUGGGGAGUACGGUCGCAAGACUGAAACUCAAAGGAAUUGACGGGGGCCCGCACAAGCGGUGGAGCAUGUGGUUUAAUUCGAAGCAACGCGAAGAACCUUACCAGGUCUUGACAUCCUCUGACAAUCCUAGAGAUAGGACGUCCCCUUCGGGGGCAGAGUGACAGGUGGUGCAUGGUUGUCGUCAGCUCGUGUCGUGAGAUGUGGGGUUAAGUCCCGCAACGAGCGCAACCCUUGAUCUUAGUUGCCAGCAUUCAGUUGGGCACUCUAAGGUGACUGCCGGUGACAAACCGGAGGAAGGUGGGGAUGACGUCAAAUCAUCAUGCCCCUUAUGACCUGGGCUACACACGUGCUACAAUGGGCAGAACAAAGGGCAGCGAAACCGCGAGGUUAAGCCAAUCCCACAAAUCUGUUCUCAGUUCGGAUCGCAGUCUGCAACUCGACUGCGUGAAGCUGGAAUCGCUAGUAAUCGCGGAUCAGCAUGCCGCGGUGAAUACGUUCCCGGGCCUUGUACACACCGCCCGUCACACCACGAGAGUUUGUAACACCCGAAGUCGGUGAGGUAACCUUUAUGGAGCCAGCCGCCGAAGUGACAGGAGG
rnacentral:rRNA from 1 species